rnacentral:rRNA from 1 species
GACGAGGGGUCCAAGCGUUGUUCGGAAUUAUUGGGCGUAAAGCGGGUGUAGGUGGCUCUAUAAGUCAGGAGUGAAAUCCCCAAGCUUAACUUGGGAAGUGCUUUUGAUACUGCAGAGCUUGAAUGUGGGAGAGGAUAAUAGAAUUCCAGGUGUAGUGGUGAAAUACGUAGAUAUCUGGAGGAAUACCGGUGGCGAAGGCGGCUCUCUGGGGACGGUACUGACGCUGAGGAGCGAAAGCGUGGGUAGCAAACAGG